rnacentral:rRNA from 2 species
GUUGUAUAGUCAAGUAAUUAAGUGCAUGUGGUGGAUGCCUUGGCAGUCAGAGGCGAUGAAAGACGUGAUAGCCUGCGAAAAGCUCCGGGGAGGCGGCAAAUAUCCUUUGAUCCGGAGAUGUCUGAAUGGGGGAACCCACCUACUUUAAGGUAGGUAUUGCAACAUGAAUACAUAGUGUUGCAAGGCGAACGAGGGGAAGUGAAACAUCUCAGUACCCUUAGGAAAAGAAAUCAAUUGAGAUUCCCUCAGUAGCGGCGAGCGAACGGGGAUCAGCCCAUUAAGUUAUGUGUGUUUUAGUGGAACGCUCUGGGAAGUGCGAACGUAGAGGGUGAUAUUCCCGUACACGAAAGGGCACACAUAAUGAUGACGAGUAGGGCGAGGCACGUGAAACCUUGUCUGAAUAUGGGGGGACCAUCCUCCAAGGCUAAAUACUCCUGACUGACCGAUAGUGAACCAGUACCGUGAGGGAAAGGCGAAAAGAACCCCUGUGAGGGGAGUGAAAUAGAUCCUGAAACCGCAUGCAUACAAGCAGUGGGAGCACCUUCGUGGUGUGACUGCGUACCUUUUGUAUAAUGGGUCAGCGACUUAUAUUCAGUAGCGAGGUUAACCGUAUAGGGGAGCCGUAGAGAAAUCGAGUCUUAAUAGGGCGUUUAGUUGCUGGGUAUAGACCCGAAACCAGGCGAUCUAUCCAUGAGCAGGUUGAAGGUUGGGUAACACUAACUGGAGGACCGAACCCACUGUCGUUGAAAAGCCAGGGGAUGACUUGUGGAUAGGGGUGAAAGGCUAAUCAAGCCUGGUGAUAGCUGGUUCUCCCCGAAAGCUAUUUAGGUAGCGCCUCGGACGAAUACCAUAGGGGGUAGAGCACUGUUUCGGCUAGGGGGUCAUCCCGACUUACCAAACCGAUGCAAACUCCGAAUACCUAUGAGUACUAUCCGGGAGACAGACUGCGGGUGCUAACGUCCGUAGUCAAGAGGAAAACAAUCCAGACCGCCAGCUAAGGCCCCAAAAUCAUAGUUAAGUGGGAAACGAUGUGGGAAGGCAUAGACAGCUAGGAGGUUGGCUUAGAAGCAGCCACCCUUUAAAGAAAGCGUAAUAGCUCACUAGUCGAGUCGGCCUGCGCGGAAGAUGUAACGGGGCUAAAACUAUGUGCCGAAGCUGCGGAUGUAUACUUUGUAUACGUGGUAGGGGAGCGUUCUGUAAGCCGAUGAAGGUGUGUUGAGAAGCAUGCUGGAGGUAUCAGAAGUGCGAAUGCUGACGUGAGUAACGACAAAACGGGUGAAAAACCCGUUCGCCGAAAGACCAAGGGUUCCAGUCCAACGUUAAUCGGGGCUGGGUGAGUCGACCCCUAAGGCGAGGCCGAAAGGCGUAGUCGAUGGGAAAAUGGUUAAUAUUCCAUUACUUCUGUGUAAUGCGAUGAGAGGACGGAGAAGGCUAAAUCAGCCUGGCGUUGGUUGUCCAGGUGAAAGGAAGUAGGCAUGUAUCUUAGGCAAAUCCGGGGUACUCUAUGCUGAGAUCUGAUAGCAAGCUGUACUUGUACAGCGAAGUGGUUGAUGCCAUGCUUCCAGGAAAAGUCUCUAAGCUUCAGUUACACAGGAAUCGUACCCGAAACCGACACAGGUGGUCAGGUCGAGUAGACCAAGGCGCUUGAGAGAACUCUGCUGAAGGAACUAGGCAAAAUGGUACCGUAACUUCGGGAGAAGGUACGCUGUUGUUGGUGAUGGAACUCGCUUCCUGAGCUGACGACAGCCGCAGAAACCAGGCCGCUGCAACUGUUUAUUAAAAACAUAGCACUCUGCAAACACGAAAGUGGACGUAUAGGGUGUGAUGCCUGCCCGGUGCUGGAAGGUUAAUUGAUGGGGUUAGCGUAAGCGAAGCUCUUGAUCGAAGCCCCAGUAAACGGCGGCCGUAACUAUAACGGUCCUAAGGUAGCGAAAUUCCUUGUCGGGUAAGUUCCGACCUGCACGAAUGGCAUAAUGAUGGCGGCGCUGUCUCCAGCAGAGGCUCAGUGAAAUCGAAAUCGCUGUGAAGAUGCAGUGUACCCGCGGCUAGACGGAAAGACCCCGUGAACCUUUACUGCAGCUUGACACUGAACUUUGACCUUACUUGUGUAGGAUAGGUGGGAGGCUUUGAAGCUGGAACGCUAGUUCCAGUGGAGCCGUCCUUGAAAUACCACCCUGGUAAUGUUGAGGUUCUAACUCUGUCCCGUGAUCCGGGACGAGGACCGUGUCUGGUGGGUAGUUUGACUGGGGCGGUCUCCUCCUAAAGAGUAACGGAGGAGUACGAAGGUGCGCUCAGCGUGGUCGGAAAUCACGCGUAGAGUAUAAAGGCAAAAGCGCGCUUAACUGCGAGACCCACAAGUCGAGCAGGUACGAAAGUAGGUCUUAGUGAUCCGGUGGUUCUGUAUGGAAGGGCCAUCGCUCAACGGAUAAAAGGUACUCUGGGGAUAACAGGCUGAUACCGCCCAAGAGUUCAUAUCGACGGCGGUGUUUGGCACCUCGAUGUCGGCUCAUCUCAUCCUGGGGCUGAAGCAGGUCCCAAGGGUAUGGCUGUUCGCCAUUUAAAGAGGUACGCGAGCUGGGUUUAGAACGUCGUGAGACAGUUCGGUCCCUAUCUACCGUGGGCGCUGGAAAUUUGAGAGGAUCUGCUCCUAGUACGAGAGGACCAGAGUGGACGAACCUCUGGUGUACCGGUUGUGACGCCAGUCGCAUCGCCGGGUAGCUAUGUUCGGAAGGGAUAACCGCUGAAAGCAUCUAAGCGGGAAGCCUACCUCAAGAUAAGAUUUCCCUAGGACUUUAUGUCCUCUAAAGAGCCGUUCGAGACUAGGACGUUGAUAGGUUGGAUGUGGAAGCAUAGUGAUAUGUGAAGCUGACCAAUACUAAUUGCUCGUGAGGCUUGACUAUACAACACCCAAGCAGUUG